UUGAAAGCAACAUGUGAAAAGGUUUAGGACAAAGAGGGUGAAUGGAUAAUGGAGUGUAAAACUUCUCAGAAAGGUUCACCUCUUGAGAUCAUAUAGAAGAUGAUUCAAGUGUGUCCUUAGGAAUAGGCAAAUGAGCAAUAACAAAUAAGCAAAACAAAUGAUACCGGAUGCCAAUUGCUGGACUUACACCAAUCUCACAA
rnacentral:lncRNA from 1 species